GAUGAACGCUGGCGGCGUGCCUAAUACAUGCAAGUCGAGCGAACAGAUGAGGAGCUUGCUCCUCUGACGUUAGCGGCGGACGGGUGAGUAACACGUGGAUAACCUACCUAUAAGACUGGGAUAACUUCGGGAAACCGGAGCUAAUACCGGAUAAUAUAUUGAACCGCAUGGUUCAAUAGUGAAAGACGGUUUUGCUGUCACUUAUAGAUGGAUCCGCGCCGCAUUAGCUAGUUGGUAAGGUGACGGCUUACCAAGGCAACGAUGCGUAGCCGACCUGAGAGGGUGAUCGGCCACACUGGAACUGAGACACGGUCCAGACUCCUACGGGAGGCAGCAGUAGGGAAUCUUCCGCAAUUGGCGAAAGCCUGACGGAGCAACGCCGCGUGAGUGAUGAAGGUCUUCGGAUCGUAAAACUCUGUUAUUAGGGAAGAACAAAUGUGUAAGUAACUAUGCACGUCUUGACGGUACCUAAUCAGAAAGCCACGGCUAACUACGUG
rnacentral:rRNA from 1 species